UGGGGAAUAUUGCACAAUGGGCGCAAGCCUGAUGCAGCCAUGCCGCGUGUAUGAAGAAGGCCUUCGGGUUGUAAAGUACUUUCAGCGGGGAGGAAGGGAGUAAAGUUAAUACCUUUGCUCAUUGACGUUACCCGCAGAAGAAGCACCGGCUAACUCCGUGCCAGCAGCCGCGGUAAUACGGAGGGUGCAAGCGUUAAUCGGAAUUACUGGGCGUAAAGCGCACGCAGGCGGUUUGUUAAGUCAGAUGUGAAAUCCCCGGGCUCAACCUGGGAACUGCAUCUGAUACUGGCAAGCUUGAGUCUCGUAGAGGGGGGUAGAAUUCCAGGUGUAGCAGUGAAAUGCGUAGAGAUCUGGAGGAAUACCGGUGGCGAAGGCGGCCCCCUGGACGAAGACUGACGCUCAGGUGCGAAAGCGUAGGGAGCAAACAGG
rnacentral:rRNA from 1 species